rnacentral:rRNA from 1 species
GUCUUUUUGAAAAUAAUUUAAAGUCUAAUCUGCCCACUGAAUAUAAUUUAAAGGGCUGCAGUAUAUUGACUGUACAAAGGUAGCAUAAUCAAUAGUCUUUUAAUUGAAGACUUGUAUGAAUGAUUUGAUGAGAUAUAAACUGUCUCUUUAUUAAAAAUAAAAUUUAAUUUUUUAGUUAAAAAGCUAAAAUAAUUAUAAAAGACGAGAAGACCCUAUAGAGUUUAAUAUUUAAUUAAAUUUAUAUUUUAUAUAAAAUUUUAAAUUUGAAUAUAAUUAAAUAUUUUAUUGGGGUGAUAGAAAAAUUAAAUAAACUUUUUUUAAAAAAUUAACAUUAAUUAAUGAAUAUUUGAUCCAUAAUUUAUGAUUAAAAGAAUAAAUUACCUUAGGGAUAACAGCGUAAUUUUUUUUUUUAGUUCAAAUAAAAAUUAAAGUUUGCGACCUCGAUGUUGGAUUAAGAUAAAAUUUAAAUGCAAAAGUUUAAAAUUUUGAUCUGUUCGAUCAUUAAAAUCUUACA